rnacentral:lncRNA from 1 species
CUUAGGAUGAGACACACAGCCAGUGCUGAAGAACUGUUAAUGGAAAUAGGGCUCUCGAAGAGUUCAUCAUGAUUGGUCAGUUGAGAACCUGGGUGUUUUGAUCUUGGCUGUUUUCCAGCCCAGCGCUGGCAGGCAUUUAUAUUGAGAAAAACUGGCUCUGUAGCUGGAAGCAGAUAAUUUUAAAUGGUGGCAUUCACCUUUUCUCUCGUUUGUUUUCCCUCAAUUCUAGUUUAUGCUCCUAUAACUCUGACCGGCUUAUAGCUCCCUGGAUACAUCAGUUUCUUUCUCCCUUCAGGCCUUUGCAUAGGUAGCCUGCCCUGCUCGAGUCCCCCUUCCACACUCUCCCUCGUGACCCACACCUGCCCAUCCUUUGAGGCCUGUACGAGCAUCACAGCCUACUCACUCAUCGUCAUUGUCACAAAAGGAAACAGAACACUUAACAGUCUCACUCUGAUAUCCAAGCUCGAGUACAGUGGCAUGACCAGAGCUCACUGCAGCCUCAACCUCCCAGACUCAAGGGAUCUUCCCGUCUCAGCCCCAUGAGUAGCUGGGACUACAGGUGGGUGCCACUGUCAGAGGGAUUUGAACCCGAGUGAUUUCAUGUUGAGUGAGGGCUAGGGAAAUGAGGCUGGGCCUUGCUGGGCUGCAUUCCCAGGAAGUUAGGUAUUCUUAGUCUCUGGAUGUUUAUGGUUAAGGGAACCGAUUGAUAACAUCUAUU